rnacentral:misc_RNA from 1 species
GUAGGUGAACCUGCGGAAGGAUCAUUAUCGAAUCUUCAACCUUUGAUGUUGGAUGCCAGGAUGCAAGUGGCGGGCUCGCAAGAGACCGACGCUUGCGUCCAGGUGUCCUCUUCAAUUUAACCCCACUGUGUGAAACCGUUCUAGAUGUUGCUGGGGAAGUGUUGAAGCCAGGAAGAACGUCAUUUCGACAUUCCUCCCAUCUUCAACACUCCCAAGCACACCUAGCUCAAACUCCAAUACUUAAUCAACCUUAUGGUCUUAACAUGCUUCUAAGUUUUUUAAACCAAAACAACUUUUAACAACGGAUCUCUAGGCUCUC